GUCUGUGGCCAUACCACCUUUAACAUGCCUGAUCCAGAAGCUAAGCAGGGUCGGAUCUUGUUAGUACUUGGAUGGGAGAUGCAUCAGUUAGAACCAGAAAUGGAACAAUGGACU
rnacentral:rRNA from 1 species